GCUUGUCUCAAAGAUUAAGCCAUGCACGUCUGAGAAUAAAGAGUUUUCUCUGAAUCUGCGAAUGGCUCAUUAUAUCAGUUAUAGUUUAUUUGAUAGUCCUUUACUACUUGGAUAACCGUAGUAAUUCUAGAGCUAAUACAUGCGUCAAGUCCCUACCGCGCGAGCGGGAAGGAUGUGUUUAUUAGAUACAACCAACCCUUCGGGUCCCUGGUGAAUCAUAAUAACCGAACGAACCGCAUGCUUCGGCGGCGGUGGUUCAUUCAAGUUUCUGCCCUAUCAGCUUUCGAUGGUAGGGUAUUGGCCUACCAUGGCGUUAACGGGUAACGGAGAAUUAGGGUUCGAUUCCGGAGAGGGAGCCUGAGAGAUGGCUACCACAUCCAAGGAAGGCAGCAGG
rnacentral:rRNA from 1 species